rnacentral:rRNA from 1 species
CCCUUAGAUGUUCUGGGCCGCACGCGCGCUACACUGAUGCAUUCAACGAGUCUAAAACCUGCUCUGAUAGGGGUGGGUAAUCUUUUGAAUGUGCAUCGUGAUUGGGAUAGAUGGUUGCAAUUUUUCAUCUUCAACGAGGAAUGCCUAGUAAACGCAAGUCAUCAGCUUGCAUUGAUUACGUCCCUGCCCUUUGUACACACCGCCCGUCGCUCCUACCGAUUGAAUGAUCCGAUGAAUAUCAUGGAUUGAGGAUGCAAGCAGGUUCGCCUGUCUUCAUCUUCGAGAAGUGAAGUAAAUCUUAUCAUUUAGAGGAAGGAGAAGUCGUAACA